rnacentral:rRNA from 1 species
GCGUGCUUAACACAUGCAAGUCGAGCGGUAAGGCCUUUCGGGGUACACGAGCGGCGAACGGGUGAGUAACACGUGGGUGAUCUGCCCUGCACUCUGGGAUAAGCCUGGGAAACUGGGUCUAAUACCGGAUAUGACCUGCUCUCGCAUGGGGGUGGGUGGAAAGAUUUAUCGGUGCAGGAUGGGCCCGCGGCCUAUCAGCUUGUUGGUGGGGUAAUGGCCUACCAAGGCGACGACGGGUAGCCGACCUGAGAGGGUGACCGGCCACACUGGGACUGAGACACGGCCCAGACUCCUACGGGAGGCAGCAGUGGGGAAUAUUGCACAAUGGGCGAAAGCCUGAUGCAGCGACGCCGCGUGAGGGAUGAAGGCCUUCGGGUUGUAAACCUCUUUCAGCAGGGACGAAGCGCAAGUGACGGUACCUGCAGAAGAAGCACCGGCUAACUACGUGCCAGCAGCCGCGGUAAUACGUAGGGUGCGAGCGUUGUCCGGAAUUACUGGGCGUAAAGAGUUCGUAGGCGGUUUGUCGCGUCGUUUGUGAAAACCCGGGGCUCAACUUCGGGCUUGCAGGCGAUACGGGCAGACUUGAGUGUUUCAGGGGAGACUGGAAUUCCUGGUGUAGCGGUGAAAUGCGCAGAUAUCAGGAGGAACACCGGUGGCGAAGGCGGGUCUCUGGGAAACAACUGACGCUGAGGAACGAAAGCGUGGGUAGCAAACAGGAUUAGAUACCCUGGUAGUCCACGCCGUAAACGGUGGGCGCUAGGUGUGGGUUCCUUCCACGGAAUCUGUGCCGUAGCUAACGCAUUAAGCGCCCCG